rnacentral:rRNA from 1 species
ACGGGGGGUGCAAGCGUUACUCGGAAUUACUGGGCGUAAAGCGCGCGUAGGCGGUCCAUUAAGUCAGAUGUGAAAGCCCGGGGCUCAACCCCGGAAGUGCAUUUGAAACUAAAGGACUUGAGUAUGGGAGAGGGAAGUGGAAUUCCUGGUGUAGCGGUGAAAUGCGUAGAUAUCAGGAGGAACACCGGUGGCGAAGGCGACUUCCUGGACCAAUACUGACGCUCAGGCGCGAAGGCGUGGGGAGCAAACAGG